GGCUCCAUAUCUCAGUUGGUUAGCGCGCCAGUGUAGUAAACUGGAGGUCAAGGGUUCGAAUCUCUUGGAAACCA
rnacentral:tRNA from 1 species